rnacentral:rRNA from 1 species
GACGAACCGUGCGAACGUUGUUCGGAUUCACUGGGCUUAAAGGGCGCGUAGGCGGGCCAUCAAGUCGGGGGUGAAAUCUUUCAGCUUAACUGGAAAAUAGCCUUCGAUACUGGUGGUCUGGAGGAAGGUAGGGGCAUGCGGAACUUCCGGUGGAGCGGUGAAAUGCGUAGAUAUCGGAAGGAACGCCGGUGGCGAAAGCGGCGUGCUGGACCUUUUCUGACGCUGAGGCGCGAAAGCCAGGGGAGCAAACGGG